UACGAAGGGGGCUAGCGUUGUUCGGAAUUACUGGGCGUAAAGCGCGCGCAGGCGGUCUUCCAAGUCAGUGGUGAAAGCCCGGAGCUCAACUCCGGAACUGCCAUUGAAAACUGUUAGACUUGAGGACGAGAGAGGUGAGUGGAAUUCCCAGUGUAGAGGUGAAAUUCGUAGAUAUUGGGAAGAACACCGGUGGCGAAGGCGGCUCACUGGCUCGUUUCUGACGCUCAGGCGCGACAGCGUGGGGAUCAAACAGG
rnacentral:rRNA from 1 species